rnacentral:rRNA from 1 species
CGGUGAAUACGUUCCCGGGCCUUGUACACACCGCCCGUCAAGCCAUGGAAGCUGGGGGUACCUGAAGUCGGUGACCGUAAGGAGCUGCCUAGGGUAAAACUGGUAACUAGGGCU